GAACGCGAAGAACCUUACCCGGGCUUGAACCAAGAGUGACGAGUGCAGAGAUGCACUUUUCUUCGGACACUUUUGGAGGUGCUGCAUGGUUGUCGUCAGCUCGUGCCGUGAGGUGUCGGCUUAAGUGCCAUAACGAGCGCAACCCUUUUCUACGUUUGCCAUCGGGUAAUGCCGGGAACUCCGUGGAUACUGCCGCCGCAAGGCGGAGGAAGGUGGGGAUGACGUCAAAUCAGCACGGCCCUUACGUCCGGGGCUACACACGUGUUACAAUGGUCGGAGCAGCAGGAAGCUACCUGGCGACAGGAUGCUGAUCCCGAAACCCGGCCUCAGUUCGGACUGGAGUCUGCAACCCGACUCCACGAAGCCGGAUUCGCUAGUAAUCGCGCAUCAGCCAUGGCGCGGUGAAUACGUUCCCGGGUCUUGUACACACC
rnacentral:rRNA from 1 species